rnacentral:rRNA from 1 species
AGACCCGAAACCAAGUGAUCUACUCAUGGCCAGGAUGAAGGUGCGGUAACACGCCCUGGAGGUCCGAACCCACUAAUGUUGAAAAAUUAGGGGAUGAGCUGUGGGUAGGGGUGAAAGGCUAAACAAACUUGGAAAUAGCUGGUUCUCUCCGAAAACUAUUUAGGUAGUGCCUCAAGUAUCACCAUCGGGGGUAGAGCACUGUUAUGGCUAGGGGUUCAUUGCGAAUUACCAAACCAUUGCAAACUCCGAAUACCGAUGAGUGCGAGCUUGGGAGACAGACGUCGGGUGCUAACGUCCGGCGUCAAGAGGGAAACAACCCAGACCGCCAGCUAAGGUCCCAAAGAUUGGCUAAGUGGAAAACGAAGUGGGAAGGCUAAAACAGUCAGGAUGUUGGCUUAGAAGCAGCCAUCAUUUAAAGAAAGCGUAAUAGCUCACUGAUCGAGUCGUCCUGCGCGGAAGAUGUAACGGGGCUAAGCC